CCCUUUGGAUGUUCUGGGCCGCACGCGCGCUACACUGAUUCAUGCAACAAGUUUUGUCCUUGGCUGAUAGGCCUGGGUAAUCUUUGAACGUGAAUCGUGAUGGGGAUAGAUGAUUGCAAUUAUUCAUCUUCAACGAGGAAUUCCUAGUAAACGCAAGUCAUCAGCUUGCAUUGAUUACGUCCCUGCCCUUUGUACACACCGCCCGUCGCACCUACCGAUUGAAUGGUCCGGUGAAAUCUUCGGAUCUGAGAGAUGUCUGAUUAAUUUCGGACGCCUUUUGGAAAAGUUGCUUAAACCUUACCAUUUAGAGGAAGGCGAAGUCGUAACA
rnacentral:rRNA from 1 species